CCAAUAGGGCUGCAUAAAGCAGGCCACUUUGAUAUAGUGGCUUAAGAAUACUUUUAUUUCGUUGGU
rnacentral:tRNA from 1 species